UUGGAGGGCAAGUCUGGUGCCAGCAGCCGCGGUAAUUCCAGCUCCAAUAGCGUAUAUUAAAGUUGUUGCAGUUAAAAAGCUCGUAGUUGAACUUCGGGAUCAAUGGAUCGGUCAUGCUUUGGUAUGUACUGAUCUCAUUGGUUCUCACCUUCUAAAGAACCAUAAUGUCAUUCAUUUGAUGUUAUGGGGAAUUAGGACUGUUACCUUGAAAAAAUUAGAGUGUUUAAAGCAGGCUUACGCUUGAAUACAUUAGCAUGGAAUAAUGAAAUAGGACAUCCGAUUCUAUUUUGUUGGUUUCUAGGAUCGAUGUAAUGAUUAAUAGGGAUAGUUGGGGGCAUUAGUAUUCAAUUGUCAGAGGUGAAAUUCUUGGAUUUAUUGAAGACUAACUACUGCGAAAGCAUUUGCCAAGGAUGUUUUCAUUAAUCAAGAACGAAAGUUAGGGGAUCGAAGACGAUCAGAUACCGUCGUAGUCUUAACCAUAAACUAUGCCGACUAGGGAUCGGAUGAUGUUGAUUUUUUAAUGACUCAUUCGGCACCUUACGGGAAAC
rnacentral:rRNA from 1 species